rnacentral:rRNA from 1 species
CCUACGGGAGGCUGCAGUGGGGAAUAUUGCGCAAUGGGCGAAAGCCUGACGCAGCGACGCCGCGUGAGGGAUGAAGGUCUUCGGAUCGUUAACCUCUGUCAGCAGGGAAGUACGGUCACUGUGCUAAUCAGCAGUGAAUUGACGUUACCUGCAAAGGAAGCACCGGCUAACUCCGUGCCAGCAGCCGCGGUAAUACGGAGGGUGCGAGCGUUAAUCGGUAUUACUGGGCGUAAAGCGCGCGUAGGCGGUAUGUCAAGUCAAGGGUGAAAUCCCCGCGCUCAACGUGGGAACUGCCUGUGAGACUGGCAAACUGGAGUGUGUGAGAGGAUAGUGGAAUUCCAGGUGUAGGAGUGAAAUCCGUAGAUAUCUGGAGGAACAUCAGUGGCGAAGGCGACUAUCUGGCACAUAACUGACGCUGAGGAGCGAAAGCGUGGGUAGCAAACAGGAUUAGAUACCCGAGUAGUC